UGGGGAUUUUUCCGCAAUGGGCGAAAGCCUGACGGAGCAACGCCGCGUGUGGGAUGACGCUUUUCGGAGUGUAAACCACUGUUCAUGGGGACGAAGCACUGACGGUACCCAUGGAGGAAGGCCCGGCUAACUACGUGCCAGCAGCCGCGGUAAUACGUAGGGGUCGAGCGUUGUCCGGAGUUACUGGGCGUAAAGCGCAUGCAGGCGGCUCAUUACGCAUGGCGUGAAAGCCCCCGGCUUAACCGGGGAGGGUCGUCGUGAACGGGUGAGCUUGAGGGUAUCAGGGGCUGGUGGAAUUCCCGGUGUAGUGGUGAAAUGCGUAGAGAUCGGGAGGAACACCUGUGGCGAAGGCGGCCAGCUGGGAUACACCUGACGCUGAGAUGCGAAGGCAUGGGGAGCGAAAGGGAUUAGAUACCCCUGUAGUC
rnacentral:rRNA from 1 species